AAAUGAAGGAAGCAUGGUAAUGUGCACAGAAAUUGUUUGGGUUUCUAGGCCUGCCUCUCUGAUGCCUUUCGGCUUUGAUUUGGGGGUAUGGUUUUGCAACAAAACG